rnacentral:rRNA from 1 species
AUGCUGUGAGCUCGAUGAGUAGGGCGGGACACGUGGUAUCCUGUCUGAAUAUGGGGGGACCAUCCUCCAAGGCUAAAUACUCCUGACUGACCGAUAGUGAACCAGUACCGUGAGGGAAAGGCGAAAAGAACCCCGGCGAGGGGAGUGAAAAAGAACCUGAAACCGUGUACGUACAAGCAGUGGGAGCACGCUUAGGCGUGUGACUGCGUACCUUUUGUAUAAUGGGUCAGCGACUUAUAUUCUGUAGCAAGGUUAACCGAAUAGGGGAGCCGAAGGGAAACCGAGUCUUAACUGGGCGUUAAGUUGCAGGGUAUAGACCCGAAACCCGGUGAUCUAGCCAUGGGCAGGUUGAAGGUUGGGUAACACUAACUGGAGGACCGAACCGACUAAUGUUGAAAAAUUAGCGGAUGACUUGUGGCUGGGGGUGAAAGGCCAAUCAAACCGGGAGAUAGCUGGUUCUCCCCGAAAGCUAUUUAGGUAGCGCCUCGUGAAUUCAUCUCCGGGGGUAGAGCACUGUUUCGGCAAGGGGGUCAUCCCGACUUACCAACCCGAUGCAAACUGCGAAUACCGGAGAAUGUUAUCACGGGAGACACACGGCGGGUGCUAACGUCCGUCGUGAAGAGGGAAACAACCCAGACCGCCAGCUAAGGUCCCAAAGUCAUGGUUAAGUGGGAAACGAUGUGGGAAGGCCCAGACAGCCAGGAUGUUGGCUUAGAAGCAGCCAUCAUUUAAAGAAAGCGUAAUAGCUCACUGGUCGAGUCGGCCUGCGCGGAAGAUGUAACGGGGCUAAACCAUGCACCGAAGCUGCGGCAGCGACGCUUAUGCGUUGUUGGGUAGGGGAGCGUUCUGUAAGCCUGCGAAGGUGUGCUGUGAGGCAUGCUGGAGGUAUCAGAAGUGCGAAUGCUGACAUAAGUAACGAUAAAGCGGGUGAAAAGCCCGCUCGCCGGAAGACCAAGGGUUCCUGUCCAACGUUAAUCGGGGCAGGGUGAGUCGACCCCUAAGGCGAGGCCGAAAGGCGUAGUCGAUGGGAAACAGGUUAAUAUUCCUGUACUUGGUGUUACUGCGAAGGGGGGACGGAGAAGGCUAUGUUGGCCGGGCGACGGUUGUCCCGGUUUAAGCGUGUAGGCUGGUUUUCCAGGCAAAUCCGGAAAAUCAAGGCUGAGGCGUGAUGACGAGGCACUACGGUGCUGAAGCAACAAAUGCCCUGCUUCCAGGAAAAGCCUCUAAGCAUCAGGUAACAUCAAAUCGUACCCCAAACCGACACAGGUGGUCAGGUAGAGAAUACCAAGGCGCUUGAGAGAACUCGGGUGAAGGAACUAGGCAAAAUGGUGCCGUAACUUCGGGAGAAGGCACGCUGAUAUGUAGGUGAAGUCCCUCGCGGAUGGAGCUGAAAUCAGUCGAAGAUACCAGCUGGCUGCAACUGUUUAUUAAAAACACAGCACUGUGCAAACACGAAAGUGGACGUAUACGGUGUGACGCCUGCCCGGUGCCGGAAGGUUAAUUGAUGGGGUCAGCGCAAGCGAAGCUCUUGAUCGAAGCCCCGGUAAACGGCGGCCGUAACUAUAACGGUCCUAAGGUAGCGAAAUUCCUUGUCGGGUAAGUUCCGACCUGCACGAAUGGCGUAAUGAUGGCCAGGCUGUCUCCACCCGAGACUCAGUGAAAUUGAACUCGCUGUGAAGAUGCAGUGUACCCGCGGCAAGACGGAAAGACCCCGUGAACCUUUACUAUAGCUUGACACUGAACAUUGAGCCUUGAUGUGUAGGAUAGGUGGGAGGCUUUGAAGUGUGG